GGUGAGUGCCACCGGAUCUUUGGAGAAAGAAGGGUUGUGUUGUUUCCAAUUGUAAAUGUCAGCUGCUGAAAACGGCCAGUAUUGGGUCUGGCCACCGGUUGAAUCUGGCAUCACCUCGCGCUUAUUGUGUAAUCUCCCUGCGACAGGGGAGAAACCCUUAUCAGACUGUGGCCCGGCAACUGAUCUGGCCGGCGGCUCUGCCUCCUCUGUUUUAGCCGGGCCUGUCAGAGAGAAGAUCUAUGAGAGGGGAGUUUGGGUCUGCCGGGAGGACAGGUUUCUUAGAAGGCUCUGAUUUCACAAAGGUAGAGAGAGGAAGACGUGGCCGGCGGACCGGGCGGGGCAGAGGGGACAGACUGGGGGUUGAGGGGAGGCCAAUUCGGGUCCACGAAGGGUUCCGCCCGGGGGGGGGGGUUAAGGCGAGACUCUCUCAAGUGAUAAUAUAAGAAACCUGGUCAGGAUGUCCGUGGACGACCCGAUCUUUAACCUGUAAAAUAAUGAUCUUAUUAAAUGUGCCAUUCAUUGGCCAUCCCGCUCCGAAAGUGGGCCACUCGGAUGUGCAGAGAGUCUGUCAUUUUCUUUUUUUUUUUUUUUAACCUCGACGGACUGGUUGUGUGCCUGGUCGUGGACGUCUUUCUAAUGAUCAAGAGUGAGACUUAGGGGCGUUGUUAGGGACUGUCCCAUGUUAGUUCUAAGGAAGAUUAGAACACAGAGAAAACAAACAACACCAACAGUCAAACAAACAACAGACAGGCGUGCUGCACGGCUUUGGUACCAAACUGAAAGCAAAAAGUCAGAUGGAGGUGGCAAAGGUCCGGGGCCCUCUGAAAGCCAAAAAUACAGACAGAGUGCCGUUAGUCCGGAUCUUUCUCCUCUCCCAGAUUGGGCCCCGAAAAGUCGGGCCCCAACACCCUUGGAACGUCUUCCAGGGCUGCGGGGCGAGAAGUCCGAGCUCGUCAGCUCCUUCUUCGUCCCGCCCAAAUUCCAAACAACCUGGCUGAGCGCUCACAGAACAGACCUGGCUGAGUGCUCACAGAACAGACCUGGCUGAGCGCUCACAGAACAGACCUGGCUGAGCGCUCACAGAACAGACCUGGCUGAGCGCUCACAGAACAGAC
ensembl:lncRNA